rnacentral:lncRNA from 1 species
UUUCUGUUACACGAAAUUAAUUACUCAUUUUCAGUUAAUAAUAAUUCCAAUAAUUCUCGAUCCAAUAAUCUUUAAAUCUCCCAUCAAUUAACAAAAUCUCUAAAAAUCGCCAACGAAUCCAGCAAGAAAACAAAUUCUCUCAACCCUAACUUUACACAACCACAAAGUUAAUCACAUUCUCCACCUACAAUCUUGUCAACUUAUACAACACAAUUCAUCACACAAACCGAUAUAGAUCAACAUUACCUAAACUAAUUUCUAGGUCACACAAACUAACAUAAAUUCAAAAAUUAAUUAAAAAAAAUAAUUACUUCAAUAAAAAUAACAAAACGCAAAAUCUAGGUCAAGAUACGCAUAAUCAAAGAGUUAUAUAUAUAGAAACAUGACUAAAUCUAGGUCAAAUUGAAAAAAAUGCAAAAUUAAAGAAACGAACCAUCCCGAGAUCUCUUGGUUGCGCCGUUCCAAACGGCGUCUUGUCUGCCUCGCUUGCGGCCAAAGUCCAUGAGUAAGGAGGAGUUGUGUAAGUAUGGGUGUAAGUAUAGGUGAGUGAGAUAUAAACCCUAGGCUAGGGUUUGAGAGAGGCGGUUAAGGCGGAACUGAAAGGAGGGGUUUAAAUUUGAUUUAGUGAUGUGUUUUCAAGCCCGCGCUUACGACGAGUAACGCUCGUGUUGUUGGAUGAUUUGUAGGUAAGCACACAUGAAAUAUAUUAGUCCACAUGUGUUUGGGUUUGGAUGUAUUGACCCACCACGUUUUGAGCCCAACUCAUCGUCCGUUACUCCUUUUGUAACGUCUUCUUUAUUUUGUUUUUGUGUUCUUGGAGGUGUUUGGUCAUUUAUCAUAUUUUAUUUCGAUCUUUAUAAAUAACUAGUUGAGAAGCCGCGAGUUGCGGCGGCCUAUAAAAAUUAUAUUAAUAUUCAAUAUUAAUAUUUGCAAAAUAAAAUAAUUUUGUGGUUGUCUAUAAAUAGUAUAUUAAUGUUUCAAAAUUAAUAUUUAUAGGAUAAAAUAAAUUUAUAUUAUAAAAUUUUUGAUAUAAUGCCAAUACUAAUAUAUAAAAUUGUAAAAUUGGACUAUAAUUCAUGGUGAAAAAAUGAAAAUAAAUUUAUACACAUAAUUAACAAUUUAAAGCAUGGCGAAUCUUAAUUUUAUUUAUUUUUUUUGAAAAGUGUUCUUACAUUGUCACCUUACUCCAAUUUUUUUAGAUUGAUAUGCACAAAAACAUCUAACUUAAAUCUGUGGGAUAGCGGUCUAUAACUACCCAUACUUGCCACAACUUUUAUUUUUUAAUACAGUAUUGCUUGAACGGAGCAAACAAAUAAUGCAUGAAUAACUUUUCUCUAAACAAAGUAAAUCAUAUAAAAAUUAACUAACAACAAACAUGCCCGAUGAACAAAACAAAUAUUAUAAAAGAACAAACAACAAACAUACAUCACUAAUAGUUAAUUUAUUGAUAUCAAUCAUCAAUACCAUGUAUAUACUAUAUUCUUUUCCCGUGUUUGGAUUUGUCGACUCCAAUAUAGCGGUUUAUAACUACCUUUACUUGCAACAACUUUUAUUUUUUUUAAUACUGUAUAAACAGCUUUCACUUAUCGCUGCUGAAGAACAGCACCUCCGAGUUAGAAAUCGAACAAGAGAACUAUCACUUGAGAGAGGAGGUUGUGUUUAGAUGAUCCAAAUUGAACUCUACAAUCCAUAGAGAUAUUUAUAGGUGCAGAGAGACUUGUGUGCUACUUUUUUACAUAAUUAAAAAACUGAAACAAAAUCAGAUUAAAACUUUCAAACUACUAUAUUUCAUAAAUAAUUUGAAAUAAAAUCAGAUUUUGAAACUUACUUCUAAUAUACCCGAAACUAAAAAAGUUAGUUCUAAUUUUUGAUAUUUUUCAUCCAAAAAUUCCAGAAAAUUAGAAAAAUAGAACGGAGCGAUGUGAGAGUCGCCACCUACAGAUAUUUAUAGGUGCAGAGAGACUUGUAUGCUACUUUUUUUCAUAAAUAAAUAAGCUGAAACAAAAUCAGAUUAAAAUUUUCAAGCUACUAUAUUCCAUAAAUAAUUUGAAAUAAAAUCAGAUUUUGAAACUUGCUUCUAAUAUACCCGAAACUAAAAAAGGUAGUACUAAUUUUUGAUAUUUUUCAUCCAAAAAAUCCAGAAAAUUAGAAAAAUAGAACGGAGCAAUGUGAGAGUCGCCACCUACAGAUAUUUAUGGGUGCAGAGAGACUUGUGUGCUACUUUUUUCCAUAAUUAAACAACUUGAAACAAAAUCAGAUUAAAACUUUCAAGCUACCAUAUUCCAUAAAUAAUUUGAAAUAAAAUCAGAUUUUGAAACUUGCUUCUAAUAUACCCGAAACUAAAAAAGAUAGUUCUAAUUUUUGAUAUUUUUCAUCCAAAAGUUCCAGAAAAUUUGAAAAAUAGAACGGAGCGAUGUGAGAGUCGCCACCUACACGCCCCUCGCUUCUUCUUUAUAUAAGUAUACUAGUUGAGAAGCCGCGCGUUGCGGCGGCCUAUAAAAAUUAUAUUAAUGAUUCAAUAUUAAUAUUUAUAGAAUAAAAUAUUUUUUGGCUGUCUAUAAAAAGUAUAUUAAUGUUUCAAAGUUAAUAUUUGUACGAUAAAAUAAAUUUAUAUUAUAAAAAUCUUGAUAUAAUACCAAUACUAAUAUAUAAAAUUGCAAAAUUGGACUAUAAUUCAUGUUGUUGAAAAUAAAUUUCCACACGUAAUUAACAAUUUAAAGCACGACGAAUAUUAAAUUUAUUUGUGUUUUUUUUUUUUUAGUAAAAGUAAAUGAUAUUCAUUGCCAGGUACCAGUCCGGAAGGAUAUUCACUACAGCUUCUAGCAUAUUGAGGAACAGGCAUGUAUAAUAUCAGCCAAUGACUCAACACAGACUGGAUUUGACAGAAAAAAGAUUGUCAUACAGGUACCAAGGAGGUAAAAAAUUCCAUAGCUUCUAACAUAAUGAUGACACUUGGGAAGGCAUGCAUAUUAUUAAGGCACUGGUCAAGUUAAAAACAGAAUAGACUACUGAGAGCAAAAAAAAUGUCAGUUAGCAGGCAGGUGGGAGGUUUAUUACAGCUUUUAAAAUAUUGAGUAAACUAUGUAAUGUGAAAGUGUGUUCCUAUUCCCAAAAAGCCCAAUAAGACCCUUAUAUAAUAUAUGGCAAGGAAAUGACGAAAAGCACCAGUUAAGAGUCAUCACCAAAACCUCAUUAAUUUCAAAGACAGUCUUACACCCACAAACCAUCAGUCCAAGCAAACAAACAGCUAUCUAAUCAUUAAGUGUAUAGCAGUAAUAGUCAUUUGUGUAUUUUAGCAAACAAAAUGUUUGGUGAUAAAAUUGCAAGGCAAAUAAUAGAUUAUAUCACAACAUCAAAAGUGAAAUAGUAGAGUGAGAUAUUAUUGGGCAAUUGCUAAUAGCAGCUCCCCAAGUGAAUGUUUAUUUUGAAAUAAAUGAAGAAUCAUUAGAUUCCUAACAAUCCAUAAAAGUAAAACAAUUGCCUCCAAAUCAAAAUAGAUGACACAUGGCUUGGGAGUUGGGACAUCCACAGAUAGCUAGCAAGUGGAUGUCCCUCCUCUUAUCCGUACAUAUGUCCAACAGACUAAUAGGGGUGUAUUCAACUGGGAUUUUAAUAGAUUGUUUUUAUUCUAUGGAUUGUAUCUAAUUUUGAUUUGGUUGAAUUCUUGAUAAAUUGUCAUAGAGUUGAUUAGAUUUUUUAAGAUUUAAGCACAAUGCUUUAAAUUCUCAUGGAUUUUGGUCGGAUUUCAAAAAACUUAAAAUACACUAAACAAUCUCACAAAAUCCAUUAUUUUCUGAAAUCCAAAAAAAUCUAUCAACAUUUGAAUAUCAUCAUAUUUUAAUGGAUUUUAAACAAUCGCAAUUGAAUAUCAUCAGAUUUUUAAGCAUAAUUUAAAAUCUUGAUUGAAUACCACCAGAUUUUGUAGCAUAAUUUAAAAUCCCAAUUGAAUACCCCGAGAUUUUAAUGGAUUUUAAACAAUCUCAUUCGAAUACCCUCAAAUUUCAUGAAUGGAAAAAGGAAAAAAAAUCCUUUAAAAUUCCAAUUGAAUACCCCCCACCCCACCCCACCCCAAAAAAAAAAAAAGAAGAAUAACUUGGUAACUACAAUCAUAAAGGAGAUAGGAUUAUGAAUAUAAAAAACAUGAAGCUCCUAAAAUAUGUACUGAUGUUUGAGAAAUAACAGAGAUAAUCAAUUGUGUUAAAUAAUUUGGCAGUAUCCGCAGCUAGUUAAUAAAAAUUAACAGAGCGGCAAACUAAAAUUAUAUCUCAAAAGUGGCAAGAUAAACACACUAAUCAGAGAGAACAUACUCAUGGUGGCAGGAAACAGAUGCGAGCAUAGUCACACCCUAUUUCAAUUUAUUGUUGCCACUGAUAAAACAGUACACGCUGGGUUCGUAGCAUUCACAAUUAAUUAACAAACAGCUACAAUUAUUAAUGUGCCACCAAAAUGAGCAUGUACCAAAUUCAAAUCCAAAUUUGGCGUUAAAUAUGCCAAACAGCAACUUAAACUCAAUAAAAAACUUAACCUUUUAGGUAAAUUACGUGAAUUAGAUUUACAACCUGAAGAACUUCAUGCAAGGCUUUGAUUUGCUUCCUACACCAGUUCCAAAAGAGUCCGUUUCUGUUACACGAAAUUAAUUACUCAUUUUCAGUUAAUAAUAAUUCCAAUAAUUCUCGAUCCAAUAAUCUUUAAAUCUCCCAUCAAUUAACAAAAUCUCUAAAAAUCGCCAACGAAUCCAGCAAGAAAACAAAUUCUCUCAACCCUAACUUUACACAACCACAAAGUUAAUCACAUUCUCCACCUACAAUCUUGUCAACUUAUACAACACAAUUCAUCACACAAACCGAUAUAGAUCAACAUUACCUAAACUAAUUUCUAGGUCACACAAACUAACAUAAAUUCAAAAAUUAAUUAAAAAAAAUAAUUACUUCAAUAAAAAUAACAAAACGCAAAAUCUAGGUCAAGAUACGCAUAAUCAAAGAGUUAUAUAUAUAGAAACAUGACUAAAUCUAGGUCAAAUUGAAAAAAAUGCAAAAUUAAAGAAACGAACCAUCCCGAGAUCUCUUGGUUGCGCCGUUCCAAACGGCGUCUUGUCUGCCUCGCUUGCGGCCAAAGUCCAUGAGUAAGGAGGAGUUGUGUAAGUAUGGGUGUAAGUAUAGGUGAGUGAGAUAUAAACCCUAGGCUAGGGUUUGAGAGAGGCGGUUAAGGCGGAACUGAAAGGAGGGGUUUAAAUUUGAUUUAGUGAUGUGUUUUCAAGCCCGCGCUUACGACGAGUAACGCUCGUGUUGUUGGAUGAUUUGUAGGUAAGCACACAUGAAAUAUAUUAGUCCACAUGUGUUUGGGUUUGGAUGUAUU